rnacentral:misc_RNA from 1 species
AUUCAUACAUAUGUGAGUACUUAGUCACCAAAUUAACAAAUUAAAGAGGAGAGAAAAAAAGAAAGGAAAAUGAGUCCUAAAGGCCCUACUGAUUUUCCUGUCAUAGAUUUCUCCAGGUUGGACCUGAAUCCAGGCAGUAAUCCUGAGGAGUGGGAUUCAGUAAAAUCCCAAGUUCUGAAAGCUGCAGAAAAGUAUGGUUGUUUCAAGUUUGUGUCCAAUAAAAUUUCUUCAGAGCUGAGGAAGGCAAUUCUCAGUGAUCUAGAAGAGAUUUUUGCACUUCCUUUAGAGAUCAAAAUGGGUAAUACUUCAGAAAUACCUAAUGCUGGCUACAUUGGAAAAACACCUUUCACACCACUGUUUGAGAGUUUAGGUAUUGUUGAUCCCAUUGCUUUGGAAAACGUCGAAAGCUUAACCAAUGCCCUAUGGCCAGAAGGAAAGCCAAGUUUCAGGUUCGAUUGUUCUUUUCCUCUAUUGCUAUUUAAACUUAAUAUUUACCGUAUUUGUUUUGAUCUAAACAGCAUCUCUGCUCUACUUUUGGCAGCAAUAGCAUACAAUCCUAUUCUAAGCAAAUAUUGGAAAUAGAAAAAAUAAUAAGAACGAUGGUCGUGGAAGGCUUAGGUCUUGAAAAGUACUUGGACGAACACUUGAACUCGAGUGCCUCUUGUCUUAGGGUCAUAAAAUAUGAAAGCCCCAAGACCAAUGAGGCGGAGAUUGGCCUAGUUGCUCACACAGAUCACGGCAUGAUCGCAAUCCUUUAUCAAAAUCAGGUAGAUGGAUUAGAGGUAGAGACCAGAACCAGGGAGUGGAUUGAUGUCAAACUCGAACCUGACCAUUUCGUAGUCAUAAUUGGGGAAUCUUUUCUAGCAUGGACUAAUGGUCGAAUCUACGCUCCGAAUCAUCGUGUUACGAUGACUGGAAAAGAUGUGAGAUACUCAGUUGGAACAUUUACAGCAUUUAAAGCAGGGUACAUGGUAAAAGCUCCGGAAGAGCUAGUGGAUGAAGAGCAUCCCUUACUGUACAAGCCUUUUGAUUUUCUGGAAGUCCUGAAACGCCACCAGGAAGAAGUACAGAAGAGCAGUGAAAAUCCUGAAAAGGCUUUUGCCCCUUUAAAGGCCUAUUAUGGUGCUUGAAAUUGAAAUUGAAACUGAAA